AACGAACGCUGGCGGCAUGCCUAACACAUGCAAGUCGAACGAAACCUUCGGGUCUAGUGGCGCACGGGUGCGUAACGCGUGGGAACCUGCCCUUAGGUUCGGAAUAACUCCCCGAAAGGGGUGCUAAUACCGGAUAAUGUCUUCGGACCAAAGAUUUAUCGCCUUUGGAUGUGCCCGCGUUGGAUUAGCUAGUUGGUAGGGUAAAAGCCUACCAAGGCGACGAUCCAUAGCUGGUCUGAGAGGAUGAUCAGCCACACUGGGACUGAGACACGGCCCAGACUCCUACGGGAGGCAGCAGUGGGUAAUAUUGGACAAUGGGCGAAAGCCUGAUCCAGCAAUGCCGCGUGAGUGAUGAAGGCCUUAGGGUUGUAAAGCUCUUUUACCCGGGAUGAUAAUGACAGUACCGGGAGAAUAAGCUCCGGCUAACUCCGUG
rnacentral:rRNA from 1 species